UACGAAGGGGGCAAGCGUUGUUCGGAAUUACUGGGCGUAAAGGGCUCGUAGGUGGCCAACUAAGUCAGACGUGAAAUCCCUCGGCUUAACCGGGGAACUGCGUCUGAUACUGGAUGGCUAGAGGUUGGGAGAGGGAUGCGGAAUUCCAGGUGUAGCGGUGAAAUGCGUAGAUAUCUGGAGGAACACCGGUGGCGAAGGCGGCAUCCUGGACCAACACUGACGCUGAGGAGCGAAAGCCAGGGGAGCAAACGGG
rnacentral:rRNA from 1 species